GCCUUCCUUCCCUUCCCCGACUUUGCAGAUUUCUCUUCCCCCAGGCCUCCCUCCUCCACCUCUCCGCCCCCUCCGGGCUUGGCUCUCCCAGGAGGCUACGACUGGAGCCACUGGUCCCGCAGGAUCCCCGCGUCCUCGGUCGCCGCGUCCACGUCCCUCUCGCGUCCCCGCCCGGCGCCACGCCGCCUCCUCUGGGUUCGGCCUCCGCGCGGUGCAGCGCAGUCUCAGGCCGCGGGACAAGCCCGACUUAAAUCUCUGCAAUGGCUAACGAAGCUUAUCCUUGUCCGUGUGACAUUGGCCACAGACUUGAGUAUGGAGGGCUAGGCCGUGAAGUUCAAGUCGAGCACAUCAAGGCUUAUGUCACCAAAUCCCCCGUUGAUGCAGGCAAAGCUGUGAUUGUCAUUCAAGAUAUAUUUGGCUGGCAGUUGCCCAAUACCAGAUAUAUAGCUGACAUGAUCUCAGGAAAUGGAUACACAACCAUUGUUCCAGACUUCUUUGUAGGGCAAGAGCCUUGGGACCCCUCUGGCGACUGGUCUAUCUUCCCUGAGUGGCUGAAAACAAGAAAUGCCCAGAAGAUCGAUAGAGAGAUCAGUGCUAUCUUGAAGUAUCUGAAACAACAGUGUCAUGCCCAGAAAAUUGGCAUCGUGGGAUUCUGCUGGGGUGGAACUGCUGUCCAUCAUUUGAUGAUGAAAUACUCAGAAUUCAGGGCAGGGGUGUCCGCAUUGUCAAGGAUUCUGAAGACAUUUACAAUUUAAAGAACCCCACUUUGUUCAUUUUUGCUGAAAAUGAUGUUGUGAUUCCACUCAAGGACGUAUCUUUGCUGACUCAGAAGUUGAAAGAACACUGCAAAGUUGAAUAUCAAAUUAAAACAUUUUCUGGGCAGACUCAUGGGUUCGUGCAUCGGAAGAGAGAAGAUUGCUCACCUGCAGACAAGCCCUACAUUGACGAGGCCAGAAGGAAUUUAAUUGAGUGGCUGAACAAGUACAUGUAGCAAGAAUCAAGGGCAAGCCUUCCUAGAAUAGCUUUCAUCCCAAAAUUUGCUUGGAAAUAGUUAGAUCAUUUGAUUUAAUUUUCACUUUUAUAAAAUAAGUGUAGGAAUCCUAAAAUUGAUUAUUUCAUUUGAAACACAAAUUCAGUAGGACGUAAUGCAUGAAAUAAUUUAAUUUUUGACAUGUACAUCGAAUCAUAAUUUAAAAACAAGGUCUGACCAGGUGUAGUGCCUCAUGCCUGUAAUUCCAGCACUUUGGGAGGCCAAAGUGGGUGGAUCACCUGAGGUCAGGAGUUUGAGACCAGCCUGGCCAACAUGGUGAGACCC
rnacentral:lncRNA from 1 species